GGCGUGCCUAAUACAUGCAAGUCGAACGCUUCUUUCCUCCCGAGUGCUUGCACUCAAUUGGAAAGAGGAGUGGCGGACGGGUGAGUAACACGUGGGUAACCUACCCAUCAGAGGGGGAUAACACUUGGAAACAGGUGCUAAUACCGCAUAACAGUUUAUGCCGCAUGGCAUAAGAGUGAAAGGUGCUUUCGGGUGUCGCUGAUGGAUGGACCCGCGGUGCAUUAGCUAGUUGGUGAGGUAACGGCUCACCAAGGCCACGAUGCAUAGCCGACCUGAGAGGGUGAUCGGCCACACUGGGACUGAGACACGGCCCAGACUCCUACGGGAGGCAGCAGUAGGGAAUCUUCGGCAAUGGACGAAAGUCUGACCGAGCAACGCCGCGUGAGUGAAGAAGGUUUUCGGAUCGUAAAACUCUGUUGUUAGAGAAGAACAAGGACGUUAGUAACUGAACGUCCCCUGACGGUAUCUAACCAGAAAGCCACGGCUAACUACGUGCCAGCAGCCGCGGUAAUACGUAGGUGGCAAGCGUUGUCCGGAUUUAUUGGGCGUAAAGCGAGCGCAGGCGGUUUCUUAAGUCUGAUGUGAAAGCCCCCGGCUCAACCGGGGAGGGUCAUUGGAAACUGGGAGACUUGAGUGCAGAAGAGGAGAGUGGAAUUCCAUGUGUAGCGGUGAAAUGCGUAGAUAUAUGGAGGAACACCAGUGGCGAA
rnacentral:rRNA from 1 species